AUUGAACGCUGGCGGCAUGAUUUACACAUGCAAGUCGAACGGUAACAGGCCGCAAGGUGCUGACGAGUGGCGAACGGGUGAGUAAUGCAUCGGAACGUGCCCAGUCGUGGGGGAUAACUACUCGAAAGAGUAUCUAAUACCGCAUACGAUCUAUGGAUGAAAGCGGGGGACCGUAAGGCCUCGCGCGAUUGGAGCGGCCGAUGUCAGAUUAGGUAGUUGGUGGGGUAAAGGCUCACCAAGCCAACGAUCUGUAGCUGGUCUGAGAGGACGACCAGCCACACUGGGACUGAGACACGGCCCAGACUCCUACGGGAGGCAGCAGUGGGGAAUUUUGGACAAUGGGCGCAAGCCUGAUCCAGCAAUGCCGCGUGCAGGAAGAAGGCCUUCGGGUUGUAAACUGCUUUUGUACGGAACGAAACGGCUCUGGUUAAUACCCGGGGCUAAUGACGGUACCGUAAGAAUAAGCACCGGCUAACUACGUG
rnacentral:rRNA from 1 species